rnacentral:rRNA from 1 species
AACGAACGCUGGCGGCGUGGCUAAGACAUGCAAGUCGAACGGGCUCGUUAAUUUAUUAGCGAGCCAGUGGCGAAAGGGUGAGUAAUGAAUAGGUAACGUACCCCGAGCUCUGGGAUAGCCAUCCGAAAGGAUGGGUAAUACCGGAUAACAUCACGAGUCGAUGGGCUCGUGAUCAAAGAUUCAUCGGCGCGGGAGCGGCCUAUUUCCUAUCAGCUAGUUGGUGAGGUAACGGCCCACCAAGGCGAUGACGGGUAGCGGGACUGAGAGGUUGGCCCGCCACAUCGGAACUGAGACACUGUCCGGACCCCCACGGGGGGCUGCAGUAACGAAUCUUGGGCAAUGGGCGAAAGCCUGACCCAGCGACGCCGCGUGCGGGAGGAAGUCCUUCGGGAUGUAAACCGCUGUCAGGGACGUGAAAGUCCACUUCGGUGGAUUGAUCUAACCCAAAGGAAGUCACGGCUAACUCUGUGCCAGCAGCCGCGGUAAGACAGAGGUGGCUAGCGUUGUUCGGUAUCACUGGGCUUAAAGCGCGUGUAGGCGGGAACGUAAGCAUUUUGUGAAAUCCCCCGGCUCAACCGGGGCAUUGCUUGAUGUACUGCGUUCCUUGAGGCAAGUAGGGGUGCGAGGAACUCUUGGUGGAGCGGUGGAAUGCGUAGAUAUCAAGAGGAACGCCGGUGGUGAAGACGUCGCACUAGGCUUGUCCUGACGCUGAGACACGAAAGCGUGGGGAGCGAACGGGAUUAGAUACCCCGGUAGUCCACGCCGUAAACGAUGCUUACUAGGUUGUGGCGGUUCUGACGCCGGCACAGCCGAAGCCAAAGUGUUAAGUAGGCCGCCUGGGGAGUACGGUCGCAAGGCUAAAACUCAAAGGAAUUGACGG